GAAGCAGUAGUUUAACGGAAAAGCGCAUCAUUCUAAGAUGAGUUGCAGGUUCAAUUCCUACCUGUUUAC
rfam:Chryseobacterium gambrini strain DSM 18014 genome assembly, contig: Ga0111674_105